AACGAACGCUGGCGGCAUGCCUAACACAUGCAAGUCGAACGAGACCUUCGGGUCUAGUGGCGCACGGGUGCGUAACGCGUGGGAAUCUGCCCCUUGGUUCGGAAUAACAGCGAGAAAUUGCUGCUAAUACCGGAUAAUGACGUAAGUCCAAAGAUUUAUCGCCAAGGGAUGAGCCCGCGUAGGAUUAGCUAGUUGGUGUGGUAAAGGCGCACCAAGGCGACGAUCCUUAGCUGGUCUGAGAGGAUGAUCAGCCACACUGGGACUGAGACACGGCCCAGACUCCUACGGGAGGCAGCAGUGGGGAAUAUUGGACAAUGGGCGAAAGCCUGAUCCAGCAAUGCCGCGUGAGUGAUGAAGGCCUUAGGGUUGUAAAGCUCUUUUACCCGGGAUGAUAAUGACAGUACCGGGAGAAUAAGCUCGGCUAACUCCGUGCCAGCAGCCGCGGUAAAGU
rnacentral:rRNA from 1 species